UCGCGAUGGACUGUUCUGAGCCAGACCGGACAAGAGCGACUGGAUCAUCCUUAGUUUGGCAAGUGACAUCAUCACCAUCGAUUUGUUCAGUAGAUAUCCAACAUUAAGAAACGGUGAAUCGAUAAUCACGACGUGCCGAAACUCGGGGACAAUUGAUCAACAUGAGCCAUGAGACUAAACCAGACUUGGCCUGAACUGUGAUGCUGUGCUAGGAAUGAUCCAGUUUCGAUGACGGACAUUCAUCCUAAACCACUUGACAUGCAGGAUCCAGGAAUUGAGUGCUCGUCGGCUGGCGUUGUUGUGAGGCUGCUUAGCCUGCAAAUAAGUACCACCGUCUCAUGCUGAUCACCGCACCUCAUUCUUCCCAAUUCUUGUGUGUUCAGAAGUCAUUUGAAAAACGCCUCGCAGUUCGCUGUCUAAUGUCAAGUUUGUCGCUGAUCGGCACAGCUUCCACUAAGUGGUCAGAGUGCGUCUUUUUAUUCGCAGGGGUGGAGACAGCCAAGUUUCUUAUGAUUCUCAGAGGGAGUAUACUCAGAAAUCUUUCUGCCGCAUUCAGCAAAGCCAAGGGGGCGCCAGCAUCAUCGACGAUCUUCCUUUUCUUAUUUGAUCCUCGAGCAAUGAUCGUCGCAGCCACUUCAAUUUUUACCAACUUCUUGACUCAUGGAACCUUGCGGAUAAACAUCAAUUAGGCACUAGGUAAUAUGUGGUCACUUCGACACUGCAGUCGACAACUGCUGAUCUCACUGAUAUUGUGUGGAACCUACGCUGCCCGCCUUCACUGCAACCAUUGUGUACAAUCCGCGCUGCUUGUCAUCACCGCAACUGUCUUUGUCUGUCCCCUAAUUCCAACGAUUGAGCUAGUGCUGUGAAGAUCGUCGACACGAACCAUGCAAACCUGAAUGCAAUCUGCUGGAAUCCUGCUCCUCAACGACUUGAACAGCUACGAUCACUCAUCGUUCGGCGGUCUGGUUUAAGCCAGCAGCCGUUUUCAUAUAGUUGCUUUGUUGGUACACGGAAUGAGAUUCAUCCUAUAUUACCACCAUCGGUAUCAUCUUUAGUUAAACCAGUUUAUGCACCCAGUCCCAUUCAAUUACUACAACGCAUCUCUGUUCAACUACUAACGUUUUGCGACCGUGCAUUGCGAAUCUACCGAUGGAGUUAGUUAUAUACUUAUUGGCUAUUGUCCAGAAGUAAGAGAUUUAAGAAAUUGUUUACACAGUCAAGGUAGGUCAGAAAGGAAGAGCCUCCACCGAUGCACUUCAUGGAACACAGCGCACAGGGCGUAGAGAACUGGAAAAAGCAAAAUGCACGAAGUUGACUCUCAGAUUUAUAUUGACAGCUGCCCACACCUCAUUAAUGGCACCAGCACCCUCCUUUGACCAGCUUUGCUGAGUCACUUUAGGGGGAGAAUUUUUGGCCCAGUUAAAUGGUAAAAUGGGUAAUUGGGUCUGGUUGAAAUAAAUCAGUCAAGGUGCCUUACAAGGGAGAAUUUCUCCCUCUCCGCCAAAUUUGCCUGUGGAGGGAUGAUUGGGUUUUUCAUCGGUAGAAUUUCAUGCAUUGGAAAUGUGCUCCUUUAUCAGUCUCAGCUGCUUCUUUUGAGAACAUUGUGUCCCAUUUUCUGCUCAUUAUUGACGUGAGAAUCAAAUUGUUGGCAUCAUAACUAUAGAUGUCCAAGUAUGGCUUUUUAAGACACAGACAUUAAGAAUUGAUUUUUAUACCUUGUAGAACAACGCGUUCUGUAGUAUAAACUAGAAAACAAGUAUUAUUUUAAAAAAAAUAUAUAUUUUCUUGUUUU